rnacentral:rRNA from 1 species
CCUACGGGUGGCAGCAGUGAGGAAUAUUGGUCAAUGGCCGAGAGGCUGAACCAGCAAAGUCGCGUGAGGGAAGACGGCCCUACGGGUUGUAAACCUCUUUUGUCGGGGAGCAAAGCGAACCACGUGAGGAUCAUUGAGAGUACCCGAAGAAAAAGCAUCGGCUAACUCCGUGCCAGCAGCCGCGGUACUACGGAGGAUGCGAGCGUUAUCCGGAUUUAUUGGGUUAAAGGGGUGCGCAGCCGGAGGUGCAAGUCAGCGGGAAAAUUGCGGGGCUCAACCCCGUCCUGCCGGUGAAACUGCAUACCGUGAGUGCGCGAGAGGUAUGCGGAAUGCGUGGUGUAGCGGUGAAAUGCAUAGAGAUCACGCAGAACUCCGAUUGCGAAGGCAGCAUACCGGCGCGCAACUGACGCUCAUGCACGAAAGCGUGGGUAUCGAACAGGAUUAGAUACCCCAGUAGUC